rnacentral:rRNA from 1 species
CCUACGGGGGGCAGCAGUGGGGAAUAUUGGACAAUGGGCGAAAGCCUGAUCCAGCCAUGCCGCGUGUGUGAAGAAGGCCUUCGGGUUGUAAAGCACUUUCAGUGGGGAAGAAAGCCUUGGGGCUAAUACCCUCGAGGAAGGACAUCACCCACAGAAGAAGCACCGGCUAACUCCGUGCCAGCAGCCGCAGUAAUACGGAGGGUGCGAGCGUUAAUCGGAAUUACUGGGCGUAAAGCGCGCGUAGGCGGUCUGAUAAGCCGGUUGUGAAAGCCCCGGGCUCAACCUGGGAACGGCAUCCGGAACUGUCAGGCUAGAGUGCAGGAGAGGAAGGUAGAAUUCCCGGUGUAGCGGUGAAAUGCGUAGAGAUCGGGAGGAAUACCAGUGGCGAAGGCGGCCUUCUGGACUGACACUGACGCUGAGGUGCGAAAGCGUGGGUAGCAAACAGGAUUAGAUACCCCAGUAGUC